rnacentral:lncRNA from 10 species
GUGGUUUUGAUUUGCAUUUUCCUGAUGUUAUUUUUUUAAUAUACUUGUGGCCAUUUGGAAAUCUUCUCUGGAGAAAUGUCUGUACAGAUCCUCUGCCCAUUUUAAAAUUGGAUUAUUUGUUUUUUUAGCUCUUGUGUUGUUUCAGGACCUGUUUUGGACUUCGACUUCUGACAAUGUAAUACAAUCAAUUUGUGUUGUUUUAAGCCACUAAGUUUGUGGUAAUUUGUUGUUGCAGUAAUAAGAAACGAAUACACUACUUCAUUAGAUUACUGUAAUGAUUCCAAAAUUUAAUAGAUUAUGAGAAAGCACUUUGUAAACUGAAGUACG